rnacentral:rRNA from 1 species
UACGUAGGGUGCAAGCGUUGUCCGGAAUUAUUGGGCGUAAAGAGCUCGUAGGCGGUCUGUCGCGUCUGCUGUGAAAACUCAGGGCUUAACCCUGAGCUUGCAGUGGGUACGGGCAGACUAGAGUGCGGUAGGGGAGACUGGAAUUCCUGGUGUAGCGGUGAAAUGCGCAGAUAUCAGGAGGAACACCGGUGGCGAAGGCGGGUCUCUGGGCAAUUCCUGACGCUGAGGCGCGAAAGCGUGGGGAGCGAACAGG